GAUGAACGCUAGCGGCAGGCCUAACACAUGCAAGUCGAGGGGCAGCGAGAGAAUAGUUUACUAUUUUUGUUCGGCGACCGGCGCACGGGUGCGUAACGCGUAUGCAACCUACCUUAGACAGGGGGAUAAUCCGAAGAAAUUUGGUCUAAUACCCCAUAAUAUUUGAUAUGGCAUCAUAUUAAAUUGAAAACUGCGGUGGUCUAAGAUGGGCAUGCGUGACAUUAGUUAGAUGGUGAGGUAACGGCUCACCAUGACUACGAUGUCUAGGGGAACUGAGAGGUUAAUCCCCCACACUGGUACUGAGACACGGACCAGACUCCUACGGGAGGCAGCAGUGAGGAAUAUUGGUCAAUGGAAGGAAUUCUGAACCAGCCAUGCCGCGUGCAGGAAGACGGCUCUACGAGUUGUAAACUGCUUUUAUACGAGGGUAAUUGCACUUACGUGUAGGUGUUUGAAAGUAUCGUAUGAAUAAGGAUCGGCUAACUCCGUGCCAGCCGCCGCAGUAAUAC
rnacentral:rRNA from 1 species